CAAGGCGUAUUACAACUCUUGAGAUAGUUUGGUAGAGGGCGUCUAGCUAGGUAACGAGCUAGAGGAUAACUGGGUGAAUUGCUGGAACUUCCUAAAGCUUGAUCAACCACAACGUAACUGCAAACGGUAGGCGUGAUGGUUUGAAAAUGAUGAAGAUGAAACAAUGGAUAAUCAGCAGCCAAGCUCCUGUGAGGAAACUCUGGAGAAGGUUCAACGACUAGAGAAUACGGUCUAAGGUGAAAGCUAUGACUAUGAAUCUCGUAGGGCAGCAGAAAGCUGUUCGAAGUGCCCAGCUCCAUGAUAAAUCAUGGAUGAAGAUAUAGUCUAUUCUAUGUUCGAAAGGCAUAG
rfam:Paraliobacillus sp. PM-2 genome assembly, contig: CONTIG000001